AAUUAUAUUAAAAGUCGUCGACUAAACCAGUUUUAGCCGACGAAGAAUACUAGAAGUCGUCGGCUAAAAGAACAUAUAGCCGACGAAAUACCCUAAUAUUUCGUCGCCUUUAUUAAUUUUUAUAUUUUUUUAUUACAUACUAUAGCCGACGAAUAUAUUAGGGUAUUCGUUGGCUAAACCCUAAACUUUUUCUGUUACAUACUAUAGCCCUAUCUUCGGUGGUUAUUUUGCGUAAAAUUUUUAUACGACUUAUUAUGUCUCAUCGAUUUGAAAAUAUUUUUAGUUGAAGGUCUGGCCAAAAUACGAAAUUUAGACGGUCCAACGACCUUUUUCGUGCAUUUAGGGGUUUGACUUACGGGAUUGACCGUCCGGAUCGAGCACUUAACCUUGUCAGAUCAAGUUGAAUUUUUUCCCAUACAUGUAUUUUAUCAUGAUGGUCAGAUCUGACCGUCAGAUUUCCUUUUCUCAAGUUUGAUCAUCACAAUCACAACAUGCUUACUAAUGUUGUAUAACUUGUUUACCAAGUGUUAAGUAAAUGUUCCGUUUCAAAAACAUAUUAUACGUAGAACCUUCAAACGUAAAAAAGUCGUGAAAUAAGACAUGACCAGAAUGGUGAAAUACGUCUACGGUUGAAAAAUCACGGUAUUCCGGUCAUGUCUCGGUGCCGAUAGUUGCGGUCAAUGCAAUUUUCCAUUCUUUCUCUCUAUGGGUAGCCCUAUCUUCGGUGGUUAUUUUGCAUAAAAUUUUUAUAGGACUUGUUGCGUCUCAUCGGUUUGAAACUAUUUUCAGUUGAAGGUCCGGCCAAAAUACGUAAUUUAGACAGUCCAAUGACCUUUUCCGUGCGUUUAGGGGUUUGACUUAACGGAUUGACCGUCCGGAUCGAGCCCUUAACCUUGUCGGAUCAAGUUGAAUUUUUUCCCAUACAUGUAUUUUAUCAUGAUGGUCAGAUCUGACGGUCGGAUUUUCGUUCUAAAGUUUGAUCAUCACGAGCAGCAGUCACAGUUUGACGAAUGUAUAAAAAGUUNUAAAGCCGACGAAUUUAAAUGGUUAAUAGCCGACGAAUUUUG
rnacentral:lncRNA from 1 species